rnacentral:rRNA from 1 species
AUUGAACGCUGGCGGCAGGCCUAACACAUGCAAGUCGAACGCGUGGCGGACGGGUGAGUAAUGUCUGGGAAACUGCCCGAUGGAGGGGGAUAACUACUGGAAACGGUAGCUAAUACCGCAUACCAUCGGAUGUGCCCAGAGGGGAUUAGCUAGUAGGUGGGGUAAAGGCUCACCUAGGCGCCGAUCCCUAGCUGGUCUGAGAGGAUGACCAGCCACACUGGAACUGAGACACGGUCCAGACUCCUACGGGAGGCAGCAGUGGGGAAUAUUGCACAAUGGGCGCAAGCCUGAUGCAGCCAUGCCGCGUGUAUGAAGAAGGCCUUCGGGUUGUAAAGUACGUUCAGCGGGGAGGCGUUACCCGCAGAAGAAGCACCGGCUAACUCCGUGCCAGCAGCCGCGGUAAUAC